rnacentral:lncRNA from 1 species
GAGUGCAGCUUUGCUCCAUUUCUAUAAGCUCCUUUUAUUCCUUUUGAUUGCACUGAUAAGGGACAUGUGGCAAAAACAAAAUCAAAGGCUGAGAUUAAUCAAGUAUUUUGUUUAAUAAAACACAAAAUAACAAAGCAACAUGCGCCUCCUUCUUCUUGAUUCAUUGUUUCAUCUCUGCCUCUGCCUCUCCCUCUCGCCUCCGCCCGUCCCUCACCGACCGAAGAGUUCUCUCUGUCUGGCUGCGUUCUCUCCGUCCAUUGUAACGGCAGCGUUCUCGCCGUCUUUCCGCUUCUUCUCUUUAGUUUAUCUGAUACAUAUUUUCAUCUUCUUCACUUAUGGUG